AUGCUCUGGUUUCUAUUCAGAUCAUAUAAAUCUUUCACGUUUUACAAAAGAUUUCCACGGAAAGGAACAUUUAUGAGUUAAAAAAAAAG
rnacentral:snRNA from 1 species